GAUGAGCAUGCGUCCCAUUAGCUAGUUGGUAAGGUAACGGCUUACCAAGGCUACGAUGGGUAGGGGUCCUGAGAGGGAGAUCCCCCACACUGGUACUGAGACACGGACCAGACUCCUACGGGAGGCAGCAGUGAGGAAUAUUGGACAAUGGGCGCAAGCCUGAUCCAGCCAUGCCGCGUGCAGGAUGACGGUCCUAUGGAUUGUAAACUGCUUUUGUACGGGAAGAAACACUCCUUCGUGAAGGAGCUUGACGGUACCGUAAGAGUAAGGAUCGGCUAACUCCGUGCCAGCAGCCGCGGUAAUACGGAGGAUCCAAGCGUUAUCCGGAAUCAUUGGGUUUAAAGGGUCCGUAGGCGGUUUAGUAAGUCAGUGGUGAAAGCCCAUCGCUCAACGGUGGAACGGCCAUUGAUACUGCUAGACUUGAAUUAUUAGGAAGUAACUAGAAUAUGUAGUGUAGCGGUGAAAUGCUUAGAGAUUACAUGGAAUACCAAUUGCGAAGGCAGGUUACUACUAAUGGAUUGACGCUGAUGG
rnacentral:rRNA from 1 species